rnacentral:rRNA from 1 species
UGGCGAACGGGUGAGUAACACGUGGGCAACCUGCCCUCAGCUCUGGGAUAACUCCAAGAAAUUGGGGCUAAUACUGGAUAUGACCGCUGACCGCAUGGUCUGGUGGUGGAAAGAUUUAUCGGCUGGGGAUGGGCCCGCGGCCUAUCAGCUUGUUGGUGGGGUAGUGGCCUACCAAGGCGACGACGGGUAGCCGGCCUGAGAGGGUGACCGGCCACACUGGGACUGAGACACGGCCCAGACUCCUACGGGAGGCAGCAGUGGGGAAUAUUGCGCAAUGGGCGAAAGCCUGACGCAGCGACGCCGCGUGGGGGAUGACGGCCUUCGGGUUGUAAACCUCUUUCAGCAGGGACGAAGCGAAAGUGACGGUACCUGCAGAAGAAGCACCGGCCAACUACGUGCCAGCAGCCGCGGUAAUACGUAGGGUGCAAGCGUUGUCCGGAAUUAUUGGGCGUAAAGAGCUCGUAGGCGGUUUGUUGCGUCGGCUGUGAAAACCUGAGGCUCAACCUCAGGCCUGCAGUCGAUACGAGCAGACUAGAGUGUUGCAGGGGAGACUGGAAUUCCUGGUGUAGCGGUGAAAUGCGCAGAUAUCAGGAGGAACACCGGUGGCGAAGGCGGGUCUCUGGGCAACAACUGACGCUGAG